rnacentral:rRNA from 1 species
UGCGUAGGCGGCCCGGGAAGUUGGGUGUGAAAGCCCUCGGCUUAACCGAGGAAUUGCGCCCAAAACUGCCGGGCUCGAGGGAGACAUAGGUGAGCGGAACUUAGGGUGGAGCGGUGAAAUGCGUUGAGAUCCUAAGGAACACCAGUAGCGAAAGCGGCUCACUGGGUCUCUUCUGACGCUGAUGCACGAAAGCUAGGGGAGCGAAGAGGAUUAGAUACCCUCGUAGUCCUAGCUGUAAACGAUGAGCACUGGUUUGGAGGGUCCUCCAUAGCCUUCCAGACGUAGCGAAAGUGUUAAGUGCUCCGCCUGGGGAGUAUGGUCGCAAGGCUGAA